AGAAAGGAAUACCCGAUGAUGGAAGUAACUCUUAUGGCUGGAGAUUGCAGGUUUAUGACUGAUCCUAUUUGGGAAGAACCAUGAUGGCAGGCAUUCGAGCUUUAUUUAUGUACUUGUGGCUGCAGCUGGACUGGGUGAGCAGAGGAGAGAGUGUGGGGCUGCAUCUUCCUACCCUGAGUGUCCAGGAGGGUGACAACUCUAUUAUCAACUGUGCCUAUUCAAACAGUGCCUCAGACUACUUCAUUUGGUACAAGCAAGAAUCUGGAAAAGGUCCUCAAUUCAUUAUAGACAUUCGUUCAAAUAUGGACAAAAGGCAAGGCCAAAGAGUCACCGUUUUAUUGAAUAAGACAGUGAAACAUCUCUCUCUGCAAAUUGCAGCUACUCAACCUGGAGACUCAGCUGUCUACUUUUGUGCAGAGAAUACACAUUGCUUUCUAGGCAUCUGUAACCAUCACCCAAACCUGAGAUGGGAGGUGAAGCAGCAUCCCUUUCCUUUGCAAUAAAGUUUAGUUAUAGCACUUGUCAUUUUGUUUGUUCAUAAGUGGAAACUAACAUAUAGAUAUUAAAACCAUGUAAUGAGGUUAGAUUCAAAGUGACUCAGAAAGGUUUAGAGCAUUUUGUUGGCCAGUUGAUGCUUAAUGGAUUCCGUUUUUCAAAAAAAUGUAUGGUACACAUUUAAGUUAACAACAUGAAGUUUUGACACACAUGUACAUAGUAAAGUAAAGAGUCAGCUAAAGAGACGCAUAGGGCAAGGUAUGGGAAAAAUGGCCCUGAGCUUCCAUGCCUUCUCUGGCUCUGCCACCCACCACGUGUUCAGCAAUCAGGAGGUUCUGCUCAAGGGAUCCUUACAGAGAUUUAGUGAUGUUGGAUUUUGUAAUCUAGUCUUUAAAGGUGACUUUACAUUUGCUAUUCAGACUUCUCUCCUAUGAAUAACCCCUUAGUGUCAAUAUUGCAAUCCCUAUUAUGGAUAAAUUUUAACUUUUAGUUUUCAAAAAUUGCUUUUGUUAUCUUUUUCUUAUUGUAAAACAUUACAUGCCAAAACCAGAUAAUGUGUAAAAUAUAAAAAAUACAAAAUUGAUAAUUCUGUACCCAGAUAGGUUUUGCUAAUAUUAGGUUGGUGCAAAAGUAAGUGCUGUUUUUGCCAUUAAAAGUCAUGGCAAAAAUAACAAUUACUUUUGCACCAACCUAAUAUUUAGAUUUGUUUCUUGAUAGAGUCCUAUUAUAAUUAGGAUCAUGAUUUUUUCACCUAUUCUUAUAUCUCGAAUUGAGCUUUUCUCACUUCGUCAAGUCCUCUCCUCAAACACAUGCUUUUUAAUAGCUCCGUGAGAAAUUUUCAUGAGUCACAGUUAUUUUUAUUUUCUUACUCCCUGUAUCUGUGGUAAAAUUUGACAGUCCCUUCUACCUGCUGUUUCUUGUUGGGAAAACGUGAUGAGUUUUCCUUUAGAGUCUAGUUUGGACAUAUACUCUGUGUGUGAGAGGGAAAUUAAAACAGGAAGUGAUUUUAAAAUGUGAGCUUCAGAUUAGAGUCAUCAGUAUAUUCUUCAAAAUCUUAUUGGUAUCUCUUCAUAUUUACUCUCUCACAUAAUUGAGAAGAGUUAUGUUUUUUAAUCACUGCUGUUUCCGCAGAACCUAGCAUAAGCUUUUUCACAUUGUUAAUAAUCAAUAGAUGUUUGUUAAAGAAAGAAAAAACUAUUAAGUUAAAAAGAAAAAGAUUAAGUUAAAAAGAUUAAACUAUUGUAUAUUCAAAAUUUUAAUUUAGGCUUUGUGGUUGAAUUAAAUGUAUAAUUUUAUGUGUGAAUAAUUAAACUCCUGAAAAUGU